CCCUUAGAUGUUCUGGGCCGCACGCGUGCUACACUGAGUAAUUCAAUGGGUAAGGGAACGCUAGAGCAUUACCUAAUCUUGAAAUUUGCUCGUGAUGGGGAUCGACGGUUGCAAUUUUCCGUCGUGAACGAGGAAUACCUUGUAGGAGCAUGUCAUCAUCAUGCGCCGAAUACGUCCCUGCCCUUUGUACACACCGCCCGUCGCUCCUACCGAUUGAGUGAUCCGGUGAGGCUCUGGGACCUGGACGGAAAGAGCGUUUCGCUUGUUCUGUUUGGGAAACUUGGUCGAACCUUAUCAUUUAGAGGAAGGAGAAGUCGUAACA
rnacentral:rRNA from 1 species